GACAGAGGUGCCGAGCGUUAGGCGGAAUCACUGGGCUUAAAGCGCGUGUAGGCGGACCGUUAAGUGCCCGUGUGAAAUCCCCCGGCUCACCGGGGAACGGCCGGGCAUACUGGCGGUCUUGGGGCCACCUAGGGGUCAUCGGAACGAGGCGGUGGGAGCGGUGAAAUGCGGUAGAUAUCGAGAGGAACACCUGCGGCGAAGGCGG
rnacentral:rRNA from 1 species